GGCCCUAUGGGGUGCAGCAGGCGCGAAGUCUUUACAAUACACGAAAGUGUGAUAAGGGAACUCUGAGUGCUCAUGCAUUGCAUGGGCUUUUGCCGAGAGUAAAUAUCUCGGAGAAUAAGUGGUGGGCAAGACCGGUGCCAGCCGCCGCGGUAACACCGGCGCCACAAGUGGUGGCCGUUUAUUUGGCCUAGAGCGUCCGUAGCUGGUUAGUUAAAUCUUUUGUGAAAUCGUUGGGCUCAACUCAACGGCGUGCAGAAGACACUGGCUGACUUGAGACUGGGAGGAGUCAGAGGUAUUCCUGGGGGAGCGGUAAAAUGCUAUAAUCCCUCGAAGACCACCAAUGGCGAAGGCAUCUGACUAGAACAGAUCUGACAGUGAGGGACGAAAGCCAGGGGAGCGAUCCGGAUUAGAUACCCGAGUAGUCCUGGCUGUAAACGCUGCGAGCUAGGUAUUGCACAUUCUUCGAGUAUGUGCAGUAUCGAAGCGAAGGCGAAAGCUCGCCGCCUGGGAAGUAUGGUCGCAAGGCUGAAACUUAAAGGAAUUGGCGGGGGAGCAC
rnacentral:rRNA from 1 species